rnacentral:misc_RNA from 1 species
UACGAAGGGGGCUAGCGUUGUUCGGAAUCACUGGGCGUAAAGCGCACGUAGGCGGAUCGUUAAGUCGAGGGUGAAAUCCCGGGGCUCAACCUCGGAACUGCCUUCGAUACUGGCGAUCUUGAGACCGAGAGAGGUGAGUGGAACUCCGAGUGUAGAGGUGAAAUUCGUAGAUAUUCGGAGGAACACCAGUGGCGAAGGCGGCUCACUGGCUCGAUACUGACGCUGAGGUGCGAAAGUGUGGGGAGCAAACAGG